rnacentral:rRNA from 1 species
UACGGGGGGAGCAAGCGUUGUUCGGAUUUACUGGGCGUAAAGGGCGCGUAGGCGGUCAGCACAAGUCAGCUGUGAAAUCUCCGAGCUUAACUCGGAACUGUCAGCUGAUACUGAUCUGCUAGAGUGCGGAAGGGGCAAUCGGAAUUCUUGGUGUAGCGGUGAAAUGCGUAGAUAUCAAGAGGAACACCUGAGGGGAAGACGGGUUGCUGGGCCGACACUGACGCUGAGUGCGCGAAAGCCAGGGGAGCAAACGGG